rnacentral:rRNA from 1 species
UAGGGGAAUAUUGGACAAUGGGCGAAAGCCUGAUCCAGCCAUGCCGCGUGUGUGAAGAAGGUCUUCGGAUUGUAAAGCACUUUAAGUUGGGAGGAAGGGCAGUUGCCUAAUACGUAACUGUUUUGACGUUACCGACAGAAUAAGCACCGGCUAACUCUGUGCCAGCAGCCGCGGUAAUACUGGGAGU